rnacentral:rRNA from 1 species
AUUGAACGCUGGCGGCAUGCCUUACACAUGCAAGUCGAACGGCAGCACGGGAGCAAUCCUGGUGGCGAGUGGCGAACGGGUGAGUAAUAUAUCGGAACGUGCCCAGUCGUGGGGGAUAACGUAGCGAAAGCUACGCUAAUACCGCAUACUAUCUAUGGAUGAAAGCGGGGGAUCGCAAGACCUCGCGCGAUUGGAGCGGCCGAUAUCAGAUUAGGUAGUUGGUGAGGUAAAGGCUCACCAAGCCGACGAUCUGUAGCUGGUCUGAGAGGACGACCAGCCACACUGGGACUGAGACACGGCCCAGACUCCUACGGGAGGCAGCAGUGGGGAAUUUUUGGACAAUGGGCGCAAGCCUGAUCCAGCAAUGCCGCGUGCAGGAUGAAGGCCUCGGUUGUAAC